UGCUCGCGCACCCAACUACAUACCACCUAUCCUUCUCAGUUAGUUCACGAGCAGUGUAAUGCUCGUUGACUAGAUCAUGGGCUUGUGUUGCGUACCUAAAUAGAAGGAAUCGUUGAGCUUGUUUCAAAUGUUGUUCGCGGCAUCUCCUUCAAUGGGGAAGUCGUGAACACAUAAGCCGACACUUGUGAUCCUUGCAUCUCGGCACAAAACUGCCUUGUUUGCUAAGGUGAAUAAGCUGCCGGUUGAACUCUCGGAUGCGGAAAGAUUAUGGACGGUGACUCGAAGUAAUUCAGUCCCGCCAAAGCACGUUUGUCCUCGGACAAAAGAUGACGGUCAAGACCUCGGCUGUUCUCACUUACGUACCGUAAUUGGGAACUAGCUGGGGCCUUGCCGUGAUUGAUGAAUGCUACCUGGU
rnacentral:misc_RNA from 1 species